UUAGUAAAAACCAAAGAAGCGGUCUACCACUGUUAAUGGUAAAAUUGGGGAACCCCUUACUA
rnacentral:tRNA from 1 species